GAUGAAGAACGUAGCGAAAUGCGAUACGUAAUGUGAAUUGCAGAAUUCAGUGAAUCAUCGAGUCUUUGAACGCACAUUGCGCCCCCUGGUAUUCCGGGGGGCAUGCCUGUUCGAGCGUCAUUUCAACCCUCAAGCUCUGCUUGGUAUUGAGUCCAUGUCAGCAAUGGCAGGCUCCAAAAUCAGUGGCGGCGCCGCUGGGUCCUGAACGUAGUAAUAUCUCUCGUUACAGGUGCUCGGCGUGCUUCUGCCAAAACCCCAAUUUUUCUAUGGUUGACCUCGGAUCAGGUAGGGAUACCCGCUGAACUUAAGCAUAUCAAUAAGCGGAGGA
rnacentral:misc_RNA from 1 species